rnacentral:rRNA from 1 species
AGAGUUUGAUCCUGGCUCAGGAUGAACGCUGGCGGCGUGCCUAACACAUGCAAGUCGAACGAAGCUUGACGGAUGAUUUCUUCGGAAUGAAACCUGAUAUGACUUAGUGGCGGACGGGUGAGUAACACGUGAGCAACCUGCCUUUCAGAGGGGGAUAACGGCUGGAAACGGUCGCUAAUACCGCAUGACGUGUUCGGAUGGCAUCAUCUGAACAUCAAAGAUUUAUCGCUGAAAGAUGGGCUCGCGUCUGAUUAGAUAGUUGGUGGGGUAACGGCCUACCAAGUCGACGAUCAGUAGCCGGACUGAGAGGUUGAACGGCCACAUUGGGACUGAGAUACGGCCCAGACUCCUACGGGAGGCAGCAGUGGGGAAUAUUGCACAAUGGGGGAAACCCUGAUGCAGCAACGCCGCGUGAAGGAUGACGGUUUUCGGAUUGUAAACUUCUUUUCUUAGUGACGAAGACAGUGACGGUAGCUAAGGAAUAAGCAUCGGCUAACUACGUGCCAGCAGCCGCGGUAAUACGUAGGAUGCAAGCGUUAUCCGGAUUUACUGGGUGUAAAGGGAGCGCAGGCGGGACUGCAAGUUGGAUGUGAAAUACCGUGGCUUAACCACGGAACUGCAUCCAAAACUGUAGUUCUUGAGUGAAGUAGAGGCAAGCGGAAUUCCGAGUGUAGCGGUGAAAUGCGUAGAUAUUCGGAGGAACACCAGUGGCGAAGGCGGCUUGCUGGGCUUUAACUGACGCUGAGGCUCGAAAGUGUGGGGAGCAAACAGGAUUAGAUACCCUGGUAGUCCACACUGUAAACGAUGAUAGCUAGGUGUGGGGGGUCUGACCCCUUCCGUGCCGGAGUUAACGCAAUAAGCUAUCCACCUGGGGAGUACGACCGCAAGGUUGAAACUCAAAGGAAUUGACGGGGGCC